rnacentral:rRNA from 1 species
GGGCCCGCACAAGCGGUGGAGUAUGUGGUUUAAUUCGAUGCAACGCGAAGAACCUUACCAGGGUUUGACAUCCUGCGAAUCUCUUGGAAACAGGAGAGUGCCUUCGGGAACGCAGUGACAGGUGGUGCAUGGCUGUCGUCAGCUCGUGUCGUGAGAUGUUGGGUUAAGUCCCGCAACGAGCGCAACCCACGUCUUUAGUUGCCAGCAUUUAGUUGGGCACUCUAGAGAGACCGCCGGUGAUAAACCGGAGAAGGUGUGGAUGACGUCAAGUCAUCAUGCCCCUUACGAGUAGGGCUACACACGUGCUACAAUGGCGCAUACAGAGGGCGGCCAACUUGCGAGAGUGAGCGAAUCCCCAAAAAGUGCGUCGU